AGAUAUGAUUCCAGAGGGAGUGUUUUUCGGUGUUCGUGCAGAAACUCUCGAACCAAGACCAGCCACUGCCCUGGAUUUUCUGGAACGCUUGUGGGGCAUCACCUCGUGGCCGGCCGGUUAAAUCUUCUCCCAAAUGGCGAUCCUGUUCCACUAAACCAAUCUGAGCACUUUUCGGAUAUGUUGUGUGCUCAGAUUCAGGCUAUUCGGG